UCCUAGCCCUGAUGGGAGCGGCAUCCUUUUGUGGCGGGGUUCGCCACAAAAGAUAUAGCGGACAGCAGGAUAAGCU
rnacentral:sRNA from 1 species